rnacentral:rRNA from 1 species
AGACACGAGCUGACGACAGCCAUGCACCACCUGUCUCUGCGCUCCCGAAGGCACCCCCCGAUUUCUCAGGGGUUCGCAGGAUGUCAAACCCUGGUAAGGUUCUUCGCGUUGCAUCGAAUUAAACCACAUACUCCACCGCUUGUGCGGGCCCCCGUCAAUUCCUUUGAGUUUCACACUUGCGUGCGUACUCCCCAGGCGGAACACUUAACGCGUUGGCUACGACACCGAGGGGGUCGAUUCCCCCGACACCUAGUGUUCAUCGUUUACGGCCAGGACUACAGGGGUAUCUAAUCCCUUUCGCUCCCCUGGCUUUCGUCCAUGAGCGUCAGUUAUGGCCCAGCAGAGCGCCUUCGCCACUGGUGUUCUUCCCGAUAUCUACGCAUUUCACCGCUACACCGGGAAUUCCCUCUGCCCCUACCACACUCAAGCCUUGUAGUUUCCAUCGCCGAAAUGGAGUUAAGCUCCACGCUUUAACGACAGACUUACAAGGCCGCCUGCGGACGCUUUACGCCCAAUAAUUCCGGAUAACGCUUGCCACUCCCGUAUUACCGCGGCUGCUGGCACGGAAUUAGCCGUGGCUUAUUCCUCAAGUACCGUCAGGUCUUCUUCCUUGAGAAAAGAGGUUUACAGCCCAGAGGCCUUCAUCCCUCACGCGGCGUUGCUCCGUCAGGCUUUCGCCCAUUGCGGAAAAUUCCCCA